rnacentral:rRNA from 1 species
CAGUAGCGCGGUAAUACGUAGGUGGCAAGCGUUGUCCGGAAUUAUUGGGCGUAAAGGGCUCGCAGGCGGUUUCUUAAGUCUGAUGUGAAAGCCCCCGGCUCAACCGGGGAGGGUCAUUGGAAACUGGGAAACUUGAGUGCAGAAGAGGAGAGUGGAAUUCCACGUGUAACGGUGAAAUGCGUAGAGAUGUGGGGGAACACCAGUGGCGAAGGCGACUCUCUGGUCUGUAACUGACGCUGAGGAGCGAAAGCGUGGGGAGCGAACAGGAUUAGAUACCCCUGUAGUCCCUGUCUCUUAUACA